ACCACACCUUUCCAUUCCAGAUUGUUCUAGAUCUUUUUCCUCUACUUCCAGAUUAUUAUUAUUAACAAUUGCUAAGGCCUUAGAGCCAAAAUGAUGGAUCAUCUCCCUCAAAUCUCUUCUUCUCCUAACGGUUCAAAGCUUAUGGGUUACGAGUUAAAUUAACUAUACUGUUGAAAAUCCCAAUUUGAAAUACACGACAUAUAAGAGGAAGAGAGCUGAUAAAGCAUAAGCCCCAAAUAUUUAUGAAAGUUAUCCAUGUUUGGUAUAGUUGCGUAGUUUCGUGGCAGAGGAGAAUUGUGGAUCCUUCCAAUGAAGGCCUCUUUUCUUUAGUCCGAGGAGAAUUGCGGAUCCUUUUCUAAGGGUAAAAUUGUUGCCAAGAUGAGCGAAGAGGUAAUUCAUUUGAACCAUACAACAUAAGUGAGGAUCUUCUAAAACUAGAAGGGCAACAAAAGAACAAAUUUGAUGAUGAAGAGCUAGAGCAUCUUGUUGAGUAAAGAAGGUAACACUAUUUACCUUUUUUCUUAUAGGCCAUCAAGGUUGAGUGAAGAGCUGAAAUAUGAUUCCAAGAAAAGAUUACUUGAUUGGGGUAGUAGAAUUUUUAAUUACAGACAAGAAAAGGGGAUUAUGCUACUAUGUUUGAAUGAAGGUAUUAAAAUAGCGUGGAUAUGAAUUUCAAGUUCAUUUUGGCAGCACUUAAACCAAUGAAAAAAGUACUUAAAUCAAGGUGCUUUUGGUGUGGCUGGUGAACCAAGCUGUGAUAGUCCCUGGGGUCCUGGAAGACCGGGCUGGCAUAUUGAAUGCAGUCCAAUGAGCGCCACACUAUCUAACACAUUCCUUUGAUGUACAUGGUGGUAGAAUUGACUUGAUUUUUCCUCUUCAUGAGGAUGAGAUUGCCCAGAAUUGCGCUGCUUGCCGGAGAGUAAUGUUAGCUACUGGAUGCAUAAUGGUUUUGUUAACAAAGAUGGUGAGAAGAUAUCAAAAUGUUUAGGGAACUUUUUCACUAUACGUGAGGUUACUCGAUUGUACCAUCCCCUUGCAUUAAGGUACUUCUUGUUGGGGGCUCACUAUCGCUCUCCUGUUAAUUACUUAGUAUCACAGAUAGAAUAUGCUUCAGAAUCUGUGUUCUACAUUUAUCAGACCUUACAUGAUUGUGAACGAGCCUUGAGCCUUGCCAUCAUCAACAGUACUAAGUGGGGUGGCUGCACCUGUUGUUAGAUUAAGGCCCCAGAAUGCAUCAACAGGCUGCAUAAUGAGUUGGAAACAAACCUUGCUGAUGAUUUGCAUACACCUACAAUAAGGCCCCAGAAUGCAUCAACAGGCUGCAUAAUGAGUUGGAAACAAACCUUGCUGACGAUUUGCAUACACCUACAAUUUUAAAAGAUGCUUUUCAGAAUGCCCAUAAACUUAUUAAUACUUAUUUGAUAAGCCGACAUCAGUUUGUUUUGUCCCUAACCGAGAUCGAAAAAGAAGUGAAGGCAGUGCUGAUGUCCAUUGCUCGCUGCUGGUUCAACUCGUGCUGAUGUUUUGCAGCAGUUGAAAGAGGUAUGUUUAUAUUUUCAAUCCACACUUUUUAAGUUUGCAAUCUGUGUUCUGUAAAAACUCUCUAAACUUUAUGACAACAAACCACGUUAUUGUUUUAUUAACACCAGCUAGAAAAAAAAGGAAAAGAUACAUAAAUGUAUUAACAGAUAAGGCACUAGUGAAGUAAAAGCUACUGCCAACAUGGAGAGACUCUUCCUUCAAAGCACUUGUGCAGUGGUUAUUUUUGGAACCCUCACUAGAUUAUCCAAUGGAAUAAAGUGACAGAUAGGGGAUGUUCCUGGCAAUAUACCGAGCACUCAGAAAGUUACAGGAGAUGAAAUCCUUUCAGAGAUUUCCAAAUGACAAACUGCAACUGCUCUCACUCUUUCACCAUUUUCACCACCUAAUGAAACCUUGAGUAUACUUUUUCUAGCAGGGGAGUUGAGUGUGAAACAUGAGUUGUGGACAGAGCUUUGAUUUGGAGUUUUUCUCCUCAUGAUUUCUUGCACAAAAUCAUGCAUUGCCUGUGAGGAUGUGGCACAAUGCUUUGUGUCUCCCUUGUAGAGAGAGACUAUUGAGAAAACAAGAACCAUUGUAGAAAAGUAUUGAAGCUUGUUAAAAUUCUUAUUUGAGUUCUUUUAUGAUUAUUCUCUCUCCGUUAUAGCUUUGUUCUUCCUGUUAAUAGAAGGUUAUCUGGUAAAUCAUGUUAUAUAGGUCAUUGCUUCUGGAUUUGAAUCCAAUAAUCCACAUGUAACUUAAAUUU